rnacentral:rRNA from 1 species
UACGUAGGGUGCAAGCGUUGUCCGGAAUUAUUGGGCGGAAAGAGCUCGUAGGCGGCUUGUCGCGUCUGCUGUGAAAACUGGAGGCUCAACCUCCAGCCUGCAGUGGGUACGGGCAAGCUAGAGUGCGGUAGGGGAGAUUGGAAUUCCUGGUGUAGCGGUGGAAUGCGCAGAUAUCAGGAGGAACACCGAUGGCGAAGGCAGAUCUCUGGGCCGUUACUGACGCUGAGGAGCGAAAGCAUGGUGAGCGAACAGG